rnacentral:sRNA from 1 species
UUACAUGCAAAGUGAUGACAAAUGAUCAGAAAUGGUAUAAAACAGUGAUGAUAAAGGGAUGCUCAAAACAGGCAAAAUGCACACUUAUCAACUCCCCCAAACUUAGUCUUUGCUUGCCCUCAAGCAAACAAUUAAGAGAAAGUUGGAGGUGAGGUUUGAAAGCGGGGACUCAGAGCCAAAGCACCAGAUAAACCAGAUGAAAUCAAUGUCCAAGUUGAUUGUUCUAAGCUGCGAUAUGAUCGAAUUCUACUCAAAAACGUUAGCCAUGCCUUGUUAUUAAUCAAUCCGACUCAUAUGCUCGAGCUACACAUGUUUUCAAAUCUACCAAUCCCUUUAACAUUCAUUAGCUCUUGAACGUGAAUCAAGCAAUGCAUCAUCAAUGAACUCAUUUGGCUAAGGUAAAAGGUCAAGAGACAAAGAUGGUCCCUUACUGAAUAGGCUUCAGUAACAGGGGAUCUCUCAAAAAAUGAUUAAGCUUUAGUAUAAUGCUAAAGGUAAGUCCCAAGCUAUACAUACAGAGAUAAGAUCCCAUCUACCCGGAAUAUAUCAAAUGAAGCUCUAAUGGUAAUCCCAUCUCCCAUCUCAAUAUAAGAACUUAACUCUACCCUUUGCAUCCAUGAAUCUUUUAAGCCCUUUUUUCAAUUAUUCUUUUCUUUUCUCUUAACUCUAGGAGAACUUUCUCAACACUUUGAUACAUCUAGCGGAUUUGGAUUUCUUUAACAACUAAGGUUCCUGUUUUUAACAUUUUAAAACCAAGGGCUUUUGCCUAUCUUCAAUAGCUAACAAGAACUCUUUCUUUUCUUUACAAAUCCCAAAACCUUUACUAGACUUUUUCUGCUUCUUUAGCUUACUUCACCUAGAGUCUUUUACCUUUUCUCAUCAAUGAAUCAACCUUUUUGUUUUUCUUUUAAACACA